rnacentral:rRNA from 1 species
GUAGGGAAUAUUGCGCAAUGGACGAAAGUCUGACGCAGCGACGCCGCGUGAGUGAUGAAGGCCUUAGGGUCGUAAAGCUCUGUUGAAUGGGAAGAAAAAAAUGACGGUACCAUUCGAGGAAGGACCGGCUAACUUCGUGCCAGCAACCGCGGUAAUACGAGGGGUCCUAGCGUUGUUCGGAAUCAUUGGGCGUACAGGGUGUGUAGGUGGCCAUGUAAGUCAGGUGUGAAAGCCCCGGGCUCAACCCGGGAAGUGCACUUGAUACUGCGUGGCUUGAGUACCGAAGAGGGUAGUGGAAUUCCAGGUGUAGUGGUGAAAUACGUAGAUAUCUGGAGGAACACCGGUGGCGAAGGCGGCUACCUGGUCGAGUACUGACACUGAGACACGAAAGCAUGGGGAUCAAACAGGAUUAGAAACCCGGGUAGUCC